GACAGAGGUGCCGAGCGUUAGGCGGAAUUACUGGGCGUAAAGCGUGCGCAGGCGGCGCGUUAAGACAGGUGUGAAAGCCCCGAGCUUAACUUGGGAAUUGCGCUUGUGACUGGCGUGCUGGAGUGUGGCAGAGGGAGGUGGAAUUCCACGUGUAGCAGUGAAAUGCGUAGAGAUGUGGAGGAACACCGAUGGCGAAGGCAGCCUCCUGGGCCAGCACUGACGCUCAUGCACGAAAGCGUGGGGAGCAAACAGG
rnacentral:rRNA from 1 species